GACAGAGGAUGCAAGCAUUAUCCAGAAUGAUUGGGCCUAAAGCAUCUGUAGGUGGCUUUUCAAGUCCACCGUCAAAUCCCAGGGCUCAACCCUGGACAGGCGGUGGAAACUACCAAGCUGGAUUACGGUAGGGGCAGAGGGAAUUUCCGGUGGAGCGGUGAAGUGCGUAGAGAUCGGAAAGAACACCAAUGGCGAAAGCACUCUGCUGGGCCGACACUGACACUGAGAGACGAAAGCUAGGGGAGCGAAUGGG
rnacentral:rRNA from 1 species